rnacentral:lncRNA from 1 species
UCUGAUGUUUUGUACUAGAAUUCAAGGAGGGGAGCUAGAGUCACUGCACAGAAGUUCAUGUGCAGUUCUGAUCAGACUCAGAUGAAUUUGUGCAGCCAGAAAAGCUGGUGGAUGUCAGCAGGUCAAAGGUGUUGAGUGAGGGAGCCAGGAAGGAACAGGAACGUCAGCAACACGGCUUUAUUAUUAGCAAGUUUUAAUUGUUUCCAACUCUCCACUAAUUUGAAAAACAGGGCAACCUACUUAAUGACUUAAUUAUUUCUGUCAUUUGCUAUUUCUCUUUCCCUGGGAUGGAUUCUGACAGCAGAGGUAUGGCCAACUGGACACUGUGACUUUUUUUGUUUUUUGUUUUUUUUCACAUCAGAGAAGACAGAGAUGGAGACUCCCAUGUAUGCUGUUUUUUUAAAUUGUUAUUACUAUUAUUUUGUUUGUUUUGUUUGCACCCACAGCGUGUGUAAUUUCCUGGGUCAGGGAUGGAACCCUCACCACAGCAGUGACACCACCAGAUCCUUAACUGCUAGGCCACCAGGGAACUGCUGGCCUUAUUUUUUUAUUUUUAUUUUUUUUUAACGACCACACUUGUGGCAUAUGAUAGUUCUUAGGCUAGGGGCCAAAUUAGAGCUGCUGCUGAAGACUCUGCCAGAGCCACAGCAACACCAGAUCUGAGCCACAUCUGUGACCUAAUACCGCAGCUUGUGGGUAUUAGGUCACAGAGUGAGGCCAGGGAUUGAACCCACAUCCUCACGGACACUGUAUCAGGUUCUUAACCCACUGAGCCACAAUGGGAACUCCUAUUAUUAUUUUUAUAUUUUAUUUUUUGCUUUUUAGGUCUGAACCCAAGGCACAUGCAAGUUCCCAGGCUAGGGGUUGAAUAGGAGCCAAGGCUGCGGGACUACACCACAGCCACAGCAGUGUGGCAUCCGAGCUCUGUCUCUGACCCACACCACAGCUCAUGGCAAUGCUGGAUCCUUAACCAGCUGAGCAAGGCCAGGGAUUGAGCCCAAAUUCUCAUGGAUUCUAGUUGGGUUCAUCGGUUUCUGCUGAGCCAGGAUGGGAACUCUUUUUUUUUUUUNUUAGUGAACUCCUAUGUUUAUGUGAGGAUUUGGGUUUUCUCCUGGUCUUCUGUUUAACUUUUCAAGAAACUGCCACACUGUUUUCCAAAGCGACCACACCAUGGUACAAUCCCCUCCAACAAUGUAUGAGGGUUCCUGUUUAUAUCCUUGAAAAAAUUUAUUACUUGUUCUUUUGAUUAUACCCAUUCUUGUGGGUGUGACGUUGUAUCUCUUUGGUUCUUGACCUUUAAACGUUCUGCCUUUGUCCAGCUUGGAACAGAGAGGGGGUAAAACAGAGGGAUGACCUGCCCGCCCACAACCAUGGGACCAAUUAUCUGCCUGAACACACUCAGUGCUUCUGCAGCGUGGACUGAAUAAACUCAGGCAGGGUCUUAACAUCUUAGAGCCUCAGUUUUCCCUUCUGAAUAAUGGGGUCAAGAAGUCCCUUUCUACACAGGGUGAGAUAGGAACAUGUAUACAAGUGCCUUUUUCUUUGGUGCUUAAUACUGUUAGGUUUGCUGAGGGAGGAACGCACAAGGCCAAGUUGGUAAAGCAAAAGAGAUUUACUAAGGCGUCAGAGGGGGAUGGGCUGACCUCAUGAUGGUGUCAGCCUUGACUGUGAUGAGGUGCUAGGCGUAUAAAGGAUCUGUAGGGGGAAUCUGGCUGGAGUUCAUAGCUGGAAUGAUGAAGGAGGUAGGAGGGAAAGGUCAAGGGAGGGGUAGGGGGUCGAGUCCCAUGACAGAGGGCAGUUAAUCCUUGUAGGUGGCUGAUUUAUUAUACAGGCCAUUGUUUCUUGCUCCCCAACCUGAGCAUACACAUUCGGGAAAGGGUGUCCACAGCAGGUCUCCAAGGUGAACCACAUUUGGGCAGGGGGUGGGGGGGGUCUCUCGUCCUCCUGGGAACCUAUCAAAUACAUGUUGACGAACAGUUUUACUCCAUAAAUUUCCCUUCAGUGUGUUUUUGCUGUGAACAUCCUGGGUGCUGAUUUAACUUGUCCAGCAAAUAGGACUUCCUGGCAUUUUAAGCAUAACAGAAUCCUGCUAGACCCCUGGGCUGUCCCUCUCCUGUUCCUCUGGAUGCCACUCAGAUCUCUUCACGCCCGUCUCACUCACCAGCACUGAGCAAACAGGGAGCACCCUGCUCCUUUGCCUGCCUGUCAUCUGGGUCAUGAUCACUUGUUUAUCCAGUUUGACUUCCCUCUCAUCAUCUAUCCUGGCUUCUCUGCACUCUGACAAAAUCCGAUGCAUACGCUUGACCUCUCACCCUGGAUCCUGUUGGGGCAAAACCCAUUUUUAUCCUAGGCCUGACGACUGUGGUGAGGUGGCCUUUUCUUUCUGGGUGCGGCCACAUCUGCAGAAACGAGCUCCUGGGGGAGAUAAACAGGCUUCGCCUCCUGAGCCUGGGUUGCUAGCUGCUGUGGUAAUUGGCUUGGCAGUUGGCAGCGCACUCCCUGUAAAGGUUGUCCUUCAGCUGAUACUUGGUGAAAGCUGCAAGGCCAACCCCCUUGGGAGUUCCCGUAGACAGCAGCUGUCUUGUCUAAUUAAGGAGAGACAGGGAAAAGGUGUUUUGAAGGGAGACCUCUUAUCUCACAGAACAGUUGGCGGGAGCUGAACAUCUGGAGGGAAGAUAGGAAGGCCGAGGCAGAGGACAUAGUGGCCGCAGCCUGCAACACUUGGCAGAAAAUGCUUUGCUGGCAGUUGAGGAUAAUGUUUGAAUGUUUUCUAAGGACUUAAUGUAUCCUCUGUAGUCACCUGGGCAAUAGAUCCCAUGCUUAUUAAAACAUGUUGUGCACAACACAGCACUGUAAAGCAACCAUACUUCAGUAAAA